rnacentral:lncRNA from 1 species
GCCACUUUGGCAGCCACAUGUUGACACUACUAAACCACAGUCUCACUGUAAGUCAUAUGAGACAUGGAGAAAAUUGUGUGUGUGUGUUUGUGUUUCUGAAUGGCCAGUGGUUACAGUGAGGUUGGGCUGUGUUGCAGGUAGAGUUAAGCCUCUGGACAGUAGAGAAUCAACAUCAAUGUGGCUUUCACCUGAAUUCAAAUGGAUGAACCUGUUUGACUUUGGGGUUUUAGGUGUCAAGGUUAUGCCAGACAGAAGUGGGUGGGUCAAGCAUAUAAAUAGAAUGACUUUACAUGGGGUCAAAUAGGAUUAAGGAGAAUUUCACCGUGUCUCCUGCUGUGAGAAGAAAAACGAGCAAACAAAUAGAGGAAUGUCUUCGUCUGUGUGUCACAUUAUCCUCUCAAUGUGAAAAGAUGUUACUUGCAUACAGUGCAUUAUCCUGAUGAUCGACAUAACCAUUUAUUGAGGUUGUUAGCGGUCACCUUUUGAAUUUUAGUCAUACAGGGUCAUUACUUUAAUAUCCUGCAUUCACAGCUCCCUGACCACUCAUCUGCAAAGGAACACUGCAGAAUUCACCAUUUUAAUUGGAUAUCUUCUACAUUUUCCAUUUAGUUGUUAUUCACAACUACCUGACUGACAUGAAUUCCAGAGGGAGUUGAUGGAGUCGUUUGUUAUGCAGGCAAAUAUCUGUCCCAUGGAACUACAACGAAGAGAAGGUCAGAGGCUUGGAACUACAACGAAGAGAAGGUCAGAGGUUAGGAACUGCAAUGUAGAGAAGGUCAGAGGCUAGGAACUACAACGAAUAGAAGGUCAGAGGUUAGUAACUACAACAAAGAGAAGGUCAGGAACUACAAUGGUCAGAGGUCAGGACUAUGAGAGGAUUGCAUGGCCCUAACCCUCUGCAGAGAUACAAUCCUACCUGUUUUUUUUAUUUGACGUUAUUUAACUAGGCAAGUCAGUUAAGAACAAAUUCUUAUUUACAAUGACGGCCUACUGGGUAACAGUGGGUUAACUGUCUUGUUCAGGGGCAGAACGACAGAUUUUUUACCUUGUCAGCUCGGGGAUUCGAUCCAGCAACCUUUCGGUUACUGGCCCAACGAUCUAACCACUAGGGUACCUGCAGACCCAUUUUGUUAGACUUCAUUGUGGCUUUUGACAUUAUCGAUCAUAGCCUACUGCUGGAAAACCUUGCUAUAUUUUGAAUAAAGAGUUACCUGUCUAACAGAACACAGAGGGUGUUCUUUAAUAG